rnacentral:rRNA from 1 species
UACGUAGGGGGCGAGCGUUGUCCGGAUUUAUUGGGCGUAAAGAGCGUGUAGGCGGCCAGGUAGGUCUGCUGUGAAAACUCGAGGCUCAACCUCGAGACGUCGGCGGAAACCAUCUGGCUAGAGUCCGGAAGAGGAGAGUGGAAUUCCUGGUGUAGCGGUGAAAUGCGUAGAUAUCUGGAGGAACACCGGUGGCGAAGGCGGCAUCCUGGACCGAGAUUGACGCUGAUGCGCGAAAGCCAGGGGAGCAAACGGG